rnacentral:lncRNA from 1 species
AUUAUUAACCAAUGUAGACCGACCUUGAAUUAUUUGCCGCCCCUUCUUUUUACUCUUGCCAUUAUUAUGUGUCAUCAUAUAUAAGCAAUGACCUUGAGGUGUUUCUAUCUAUCUAUGUAUGUAUCAUCUGCUAAGCAAAGACGACUCAAAAUUCAAAACAUGCAUGCAUGGACCUAGAAUACAUAUAUGCAGACAAAAUUGAAUCAGAAAAAUCAAAAUAACAAGCUGACACAUCAAACUGUUCAAAAUAGACUAUGGUGUUCAUCUCCAUCUCUAGCAUCCAGCAAGCAUUUCUCCACUCCAAAACUUUUCUCAUCUUCACAUUACUUUUCUUUUUCCUCUCUCUCUCUCCACAAAAUGGUCACCUCGAUUGCAAAGCAGGUAAAGCUCGAUGAUUUUGGUAUCCCUGGCAGGCUGCAUACAAAGGUUAAACCAUCAUCAUCUUCUGGCCUACAUCUGCUUGCUGUGUCUUGUCAUCGAGAACGCAAGCCAUGAAAAAAAUCGUCAUAAUAUCUAAGCAAAAACAUUUGUAUAAGGCUCUAGACCACGUACGUAAAUGUCACCCGUUUUGUCAGUGCUAUGAAUUUGAUGCCGUUGAUUCUCAUUUUACUACUAGCUAGCUUAUAAAAAGUUUUAGCUACAUGCAUACCAAAGCCUGUAACUGGUAUUUUUCAGACGAUUGCACUAGCUAAGUAUCAUCAAUUUUCCUGCAGUUGGCUUCAUGGUACAGAUGGCAGAUAAUAGUAAAGAAAAAUUAGGCUCAGGAGCAGCCCAUACAAUCAAUCUAGAGACCUUCAGUAGGCGGCUUAACGUGUUUUAUGACCAUUGGAACGAAAAUAAGUCUGAUCUUUGGGCUUCUUCUGAUGCCAUUGCAAUUGCGACUCCGCCUCCUUCUGAGGAUCUCCGUCAUUUGAAAUCCACAGCUCUGGAUGUUUGGUUUCUUGGAUAUGAUGAAUUUCCAGAAACCAUAAUUGUCUUCAUGCAGAAGCAGAUACAUUUCUUAUGCAGCCAGAAGAAAGCAAAAUCUCAUUGGAACCAUCAAGGAUGCUGCUGCAAAUGAGGCUGUUUUGGUUCUGAUAUUGUCUUGCAUGUGAAAAGCAAGAAUGGGGAUGGCAUUGACCUGAUGGAUGAUAAUACUGCGUGCUGUUUGUGCUCAGUCGAAAUCUGACACUUAAGUUGUUGGUCACAUUGCAAAAGAGGCACCUCAGGGUAAGCUCCUUGAAACAUGGGCAGAAAAGUUAUCUGUUGGAUCUGUGUACAACUUGCAGACGUAACACACGGGUUUCCUGAGAUUUUUGCCGUCGAAGGUGCCACAAAGAUCAUAUGUGUGAAAAAGACUGCUUGCCUAACUUCAUCUCUAAUGAAAAACUUUGUGGUACCGACCAUGGAGAAGGUUAUUGAUGAGGAGAGAAAAGUCUCACACUUGUCAUUGAUGUAUGACACAGAGAAGGUUAUUAUUGAUCCUUUGAAGGCCAAGGAGAAGUUGAAGCCUGAAAAUAUUGAUAUAUGCUACCCUCCUGUCUUCUAAAGUGGAGGGAAGUUUGAUCUUAGGCCAGGUGCCUCCAGCAAUGAUGAUUAUCUCUACUAUGAUCCUGCAAGUAUCAUCAUCUGCGCAACUGGGUCCAGGUACAGUAACUACUGUUCCAAUGUUGCCAGAACAUUUCUGGUAGAUACUACCCCAGCAGAGAGUAGGGCGUAUUAGACACUUUUGAAAGCCCAGGAAGCUUCUUUAGCAGCAUGUAAACCAGGCAAUCAGAUGUCUGCAGUUUUUAAGGCUGCAGUUGCAGUGUUUGAGUAAUAUACAGGCAGAAACAAACAAUGAGAAGACAAAGCAGUUCUUUAAGUUAUUAGCUGAUACAGCUUAAGUUAGUGACAAGACUGCAGAGAUCUUGACCAAUUGCUCCAAGGCUGUUAAAGAUGUUGCCUAUUCAUUUAAUGAUGAGGAGGAAGUUCCGAAGCCGAAGCGGGCUUAGGUUGAGUCAAAUAGCCUGGAAGCACUACCAUCCAUGGCGACACUUCGAUCAGACAACCCGGAGAUGGAUGUCCAAGGAAGAGCUCCAGAGACUUCUAGAAGGCUUGAUGGGGGUGGUUCUGGUUCUUCCUUCUAGGUCUUCAAAUGAGCUUGCUGCAUAAAAGAAUGUGAAUGAUGUGCCCUAUUCGAGAGAGUUGGUGAUACAGGUGGAUCAGAGGAAUGAAGGUGUUCUCUUACCUAUUUAUGGCAGCAUGAUCCCUUUCCAUGUUUCUACUGUUAAGAGUGUGACAAGCCACUAGGGCAACCACACCUGCACUAUCCGCAUUUUGUUUAAUGUACUCCCUCCGUUCUGAAUUACUUGUCGCUCAAGUGGAUGUAUCUAACACUAUUUUGAUGCUAGAUACAUCCAUUUGAGCGACAAGUAAUUCGGAACGGAGGGAGUACCUGGCAUGCCAUUCUCAAAUGUUUGACAAGGCUCAAGGAGCUAUCUACUUGAAAAUGAUUACAUUACGCUCAAAGGAUCCACGGCAUAGCAGUGAAGUUGUGCAGCAGAUCAAAACAUUGAGGAGGCAAGUAGCUUCAAGGGAGCCAGAGAGGGCCACCCUUGUUACUCAGGAGAAACUCCAGCAAGCAAGCACCCUUGUUACUCAGGAGAAACUCCAGCAAUCAAAGCACCAAAACAAAGCAAAUGAGGCUUAAUGAUGUGUGGAUACGGCCUGCAUUUGGUGGUCGUGGGAGAAAGCUGACAGGAACUCUUCAGGCCCAUGUUAAUGGUUUCAGAUGUUCUACUUCAAGGGCUGAUGAGCGUAUGGAUAUCAUGUACGGGAAUAUAGAACAUAUGUUUUUUUCCAGCCGGCAGAGAAAGAAAUGAUUACCCUCCUACAUAUCCAUUGCACAAUCAUAUCAUGUUGAAGUGAUGGAUGUUGUUCAAACUGUUGGUGGCAGAAGGAGAUCAGCCCUUGAUCCUGAUGAGAUUGAAGAAGAGCGGCGUGAGAGGGACCGGAAGAACAGAAUCAACCAUGGAGUUCCAGAACUAUAUCAACAAGGUUAAUGACCACUGGUCGCAACCACAGUUCAAGGGGCUUGAUCUGGAGUUCCAUAUCCCUCUUAGAGAGCUUGGAUUCCAUGGGGUUCCGUAUAAAGCUUCAGCUUUCAUCAUUCCAACUUCAACUUGUUUGGUUGAGCUAAUUGAGACUCCUUUCCUAGUGGUGACCCUGGGUGAGAUAGAGAUUGUUAAUCUGGAGAGGGUGGGCUUUGGAACAAAGAAAUUUGACAUGGCUAUCGUGUUCAACGACUUCAAGAAGGAUGUUCUCCGCAUCGACUCCAUCCAGACAACCUCACUUGACGCGAUAAAGGAGUGGGUUGACACCACCGAUCUCAAGUACUAUGAGAGCAGGCUGUAUCUGAACUGGCGUCCUAUCCUGAAGACUAUCAUUGAUGAUCCUCAGAAGUUUGUUGACGAUGGUGGCUGGGAGUUCCUGAACAUGGAGGCAAGCGAUUCCGGGGCAGAGGAAACAUAGGAAUCAGACAAGGGGUACGAGCCUUCUGCUGCUGAGCCCGAGUCUGAAUCAGAAGACGAAGACUCCGACAGCGCGUCCUUGGUGGAAUCAGACGAGGAUGAGGAAGAAGAUUGACUCCACUUAGCACAACACGCCAUACAGUUAAUGUUUCAAUCAAGAAGGAAUCGCCAAAGUGAAACAUCUGGGUAAUUGCUAGCAUUCCUAAUGUUAGACCGAAAGAAGACUUAGUUUUAUUUUCAUGGGAAUCAUGGAUACCCCCUCAUAACUCAUUUGCUCACUUUGUUACAAGUCAUGCUCAGGAUACACAUGAAGAAGGUGAGAAAGCGGCAAGGAGUGCUAAUCUAAUUUUGUUCAGAACUCGUGUAAUGUGACCCUCGGUACUUUUUUACAUUACAUGCCAAAUAGAUGUGUUCAAGUGGCCAUGGGGAAACCAUUUUACGGAGUGAUUAUACACUCCCUCCGAUCAAAAAUAAGUGUCGUGAUUUUGGAUCGGAGGGAGUACCAUUCAACUAAAUGAGUUGGAGAUCUCAAUUAUAAAUAAAAUUUUGUUCUAUCCAAUCCACCAAACCCCCCUGCACUUUCUAGAUAACAAACAACAUCAUCUCGCACCAUUGAAUGAAUCCUGAUCCAUAUAGGAAGGUGAGAAAACUUAACUGAAAUAAGAAAAGAAUAUUUAUUCAAGUGUUGUCUAGUUUAUGGAUUCUGGAACUUCUGAACAUUCAGAACACACUUUAAAUUUGAAGCUGACCAAAACAGGAGAAAAGCAUCGCUUGCUUUGCCGCCUUCACUCAAGGUUCACCGACGGUUCAGGAGUGCCCAAGUGUAUCCAACGGCAUGAUUCUACUCGUCAUUUACCAUUUCCUUGUUGUCUCUAGUUUGCUGUUUAAGCCCAGUUUAAGCCGCUAGUCUUAUCUGAACUAACUGCCAAGUGCCUAAUGUGACUGCUGCAGAAGUAUAUAGCUCCAGCAAAUCUUUGGCAGAGAAUUCGUUUUGGAUCACUCGGUCCUCCUUGAGGCCUUCCUGUUCGAUUUUCGACCACAAUAAUGAAGCAUUUUUUUCGUAAAUUUUAGACUGUCUUGUGCUAUGGUAACUGUUCUGACCAUACUCAGUACAUGGAGAAAUGUACAGGGGGUACAAACAAUUUCUUGUAGGGCGACUACUUUUAGUUUUUUAAUAACAAAACCAAGUUGGAUCACAGUAUUUGCUUUCCCAUUUUUGCCAUUCAGGUAAAGCCUGGAAUCUAAAAAUGCACACGGUGCAACAAUUCCGAUUGAAAACUGAAUUAGCACAAGAUAAGCCAUACAGAGAUUGAUAGGUUCUGACAAAAGGAGCAAAUGUGGAAACAAGCUAGUUACAUGUGCUCAGAAAAAUUACUAAGGUAUAGAGUUGUGACUCUCACUGACAAAGAUAAAGGGGCCCAUAUUUUGUCAAUGAGCUGUGCGCUGCUUCUCUCCACUGAAGUUAUCUGUUGGUCAAACCUUGCAAUAGUAGACUGCACGUAUAUGGGAUGCCAUUCCCUCGUACGUAAAAUGUAAAAGUCCAACCAAAGAAAAUUGCAAAGACGAUUAAAUAUACAUUUUGCAACGGGACAAUAACUGAUUUGGACCUAUCGUGAACAUUACAAAUACUGGUUGGUUAAUUCUUUCCCAAGCUGUUUGGAAAGUUGACAGGUCCCGGUAACGCCUUUGGGCCUCUAAACUGCUCCAUGUCUUUCACCCACCAACUCAUUCAGGGAUAGUUUGUUUAAAUGCACGAAUACUUCAAGACUUGGCAGAGGCCAGCUUAGUUAAAUUUGACCAGAGAUCAACAAGCAGCUAUGUCAUGAAUCCUGGCCAUGAAGGUUGCCAUAUCUGCACUUACAGGUGAACUUGUAAGUCGGUUCAUCUCCUUCCUGAUGAACAGUUACCACUCCUCCAGCCAUGCAUGAUCAGAGGAGAAGGUGGUGGAGAGGUUGCAGCAUCUCCUGAUCAGAGUUGGCACCAUCGUCGAGGAGGCGCACGUUUGAUACAUUACCAACUCUGGGAUGAUGAUGCAGCUCAAGAUGCUCUCAGAGGCCAUGAGAGGACACCGUCUGCUCGAUACCUCAAGGUACUGAGCCCUCCAAGACGAUGCAGGCAAUCGCGUUGCCACCUUCACUCAAAGUUCAUCCACAGUUCAGGAGUGACCAAGUGUAGCCAGCGGAACGAUUAUACAUGUCAUUUAUCAUUUCCUUGUAGUUUCUCGUUAGCUGUUAAAGCCUGGUUUAAGCUACUUAUCUUAGGUGAACUAACUGUCAAGUGCCUAGCGUGACCGCUGCGGGAGUAUUAUAGUGCCAACUUGGGUGAAUGAAACGCAACAAGAAUUAACUUUUUCUUUUUGCUGAUCUUUACUUUCUUACACUAGAGGUAGCCUGAUUCCCUUGUAUCCUCAUCUCAGAUCCACCAUAUCACUACGGCAAACAAGCAUUUAGCAGCAUGUACAUGUAGUGAUGGGAGUACAUUUGGAUUAUAAAGUUACAAAACUACCAAGUGCUGCUUGACAAGUUGCACAUGCCCUGCUUCCCCAGAGAUGAAUACUAUUACUACUAUGUUCGGUACAGUUAUCUUAGCAGUUUCUCUUAUCUUUACUACAAAGGGGAGUCUGCGGUCUUAAUGGAUCCAUAUCCCUCGCACUCUCCUGCAAAACCAGCCCACCCCUUGUCCCAUCCCCGCUCAACAAAAACAGCAGAAAAACCCCGGGGAAAAAGCAAACAGCCACGACCCACAGACACAGGUCCCAAGCCCCAUCUCCCCCAAUCCCCUCGCUCCUGCUGGAUGCACUGAGAGUCUGUGAGUUACUAGUUGCCUUUCUUCAGUGAGGGUAUGGGAACACUCCUCGAUAGAAGCAAAGAUUGUGUAAAAGAAAAUUCAGGGUUAACGACAGUCUGAUUCGUCAGAAGUUGAGGGAAUAGAAGAGUGCUCGUUCAUGUGUAAGCAAUCAUGUGUGGACCAGAAAGUUUGAUGUGCCCGGUCAGGCACUUGCAUGGGUAAUCAACACUGACCAAAUGUUUCAAUCAGUAAAUGUAAAAGUCAAAAUGAAGAGUUCAUUUCGUUCACCACAGAUAACUGGCUCAUCUUUCUGAUAAUGUUUUGCCUGCCAAAUCAAAUUUUCUGGAAUAAAUAAAUAGACUAAAAGGUCAGAAUCUUAGCUCUUGUUAAUUCUGCAACCUAUUAUUGUAUAUCUAAAUUGAACAUUUCAGAUUCUGUGGUUCCCGGCUGGAUUUCAAAGUGCGAAGAGGCAUGGAUGCAUGAGAAUGCUCUGAAUGGCAUCCAUACAGAACUCCAACCAGGCUAAGUAAUUCAUAUACAUAGAAACAACAGCUACGUUUUCACUACCUCAUUAUGCGUAUGGGUUCUGUAUGCUGUUUGUCCCUUUUCUGCUGACCUAUUUUUGCGCCGCCAAAUUACAGAUUUACACAACCAAACUAAUGCAUAUAUAUGAUUGACUCGGUUCUCUGUAUGGAUGCAGUGUGCAAAUGUGCCAUUGUAGGCCUAAUAAAUGCUUCAUAUAUGCAGAGAUUUGUUGCAAACAAACAGAAGAAGGUCCUUUUUGGCUAUUCCAUACAAAGAUCUUUGGUUUUCAUGAUUAAGCAGGCGUUAUACCACAGCUUGGUGUCUGAUACUACUCAGUCAAAUUAGUCACAUAUUUUUGUCCUCCAAUAUUAUUGUUGAACUUGUCAUAUGGUAUUCAGGUUAUUUGGGACAAAUGGCUAACAUAUGUCAACAUGUGAUUAUAUAGCAUGCAUUGCUAAGUCUUGUUGGAUUGCUAGGCAUGGAUGUGUUCAAGAAAGUAACAGAAAAUUUGGAGGCACACUUACUGUUGAAUCAUGACUGUUUUCAUUUUGUGAAUUGCACACUUAUUCUUGCUGUCCGCUUCUACUAAGGUAAUAACAAAUUAACAACAUAAGGUUGAAGGUGCAAGAAUCUGUAUACCCCGUAAUGCCAUAGGAUAUUUCAGAGAUUACUGUUUAAGGCAUCAUUAAGAACAGUAGAAAGCCUUUCUCAAAGAAGAAGUCGGAAGCCCUGUUAUGGCCAGCCUGGAUCAAUGAACAUAGGAGUCACGUGAUUUUGUAUAUAUAUGUACUUAUUUUAGUCUGUAUCCUCUAUUUUGGGUAGCAGAAGAUCCUUAUAGGCCUCUACACAAAUAUAUGUUUCCCUACGCUGAUUCUUUUGAAAUGCAAAGCUAUGCCAGCAUCGUCUUUUAUUCAGUCCUGCACAUCCAGUUGUAUAAUUUUAACUGUGCAAAUCUGGAUAUUUUGUAGUCCGAAAAAGGUCCUGAAUUUCUUCAACAGGGCUGGCAAUGGCAUUCUUUGGAUGUAGCUUGUCAAUUACAUUGACAUGUAUGGAAGUAAAUGUGAAGACCAUAUCCAAAUUAUAAUUGCGCCAAGCCUGAGAGGCAGGUGGAAAGGGACGCAGGAUGAAAAAUACACUUGAGAAAUGUUUGGUUGCCAACAUCACUUUGGUAACAGUCAUAUCUGUUGUAACCUCCAAAAAUGCCUGCUGCUUGGUUUGGCUACGUUCUGCAUGAGUGAAGAGAGGACGAGAGGUAGCCUGCCCCAUAGGGCAUGCGCGGCUGGCCCUGGAGAAACAGACGAUUUAAGCGUUUCUCCACGGCCAACUUUCAGGCUUGACUGGAGAACUUGUGUACGUAAUCAAACACAAAAAAGAUAAAGAUACUGUAUCUGACGGAACGGACCAAGCUCGUGCAGGAACCAAACACACAAUCAGUUAGCAAGGAUAAGGGUGGAGAANNNNNNNNNNNNNNNNNNNNNNNNNNNNNNNNNNNNNNNNNNNNNNNNNNNNNNNNNNNNNNNNNNNNNNNNNNNNNNNNNNNNNNNNNNNNNNNNNNNNNNNNNNNNNNNNNNNNNNNNNNNNNNNNNNNNNNNNNNNNNNNNNNNNNNNNNNNNNNNNNNNNNNNNNNNNNNNNNNNNNNNNNNNNNNNNNNNNNNNNNNNNNNNNNNNNNNNNNNNNNNNNNNNNNNNNNNNNNNNNNNNNNNNNNNNNNNNNNNNNNNNNNNNNNNNNNNNNNNNNNNNNNNNNNNNNNNNNNNNNNNNNNNNNNNNNNNNNNNNNNNNNNNNNNNNNNNNNNNNNNNNNNNNNNNNNNNNNNNNNNNNNNNNNNNNNNNNNNNNNNNNNNNGGGGGGGGAGGUGUUUAUUGUUGUUUGGAAUCACACGUAUACAUCUUUCCUUAUUUCUUAGCAACACAUGGGUAUCCAGCUAGUAGUUACAAAUAAUAACAAGGCCAGAAUUAAACUUCUGAUAAACAACUAACUGUACAUCGAUGAUGAGUUGAUGAUAUUGCUGUAUGUAGUCAACGUCUUGCUCGGAAAAUGCAUAACCUCUUAAAACACUGUGUGCUAAAUGUUAGCCUUGAAUUGUUUGUACGUAUAUGUGCUAAGGAAAUGUCAUUGAAAAGAUUCAAAGCAUGCAUGGACUAAUAGAUGCAGACACAAUGAAUCAGAAAAUAAAACAACAAACUGAGACAGCAAACAGUCAAAAGGUAUGAGAUUCCUAUGGGCAGAAAUAGAUAAGUCACCUGUCUGCUUGUUCCGGAAGAUGGACAUCCAUUAGUCUCCAUGAGUGAUCCUCUGGAUGUCCAAACAGAGUAUAUUGGAGAGGUCCCGGUCUUGCCAUUCCUUCAUCUACCAUUCUUAAGAAGUUGCUCCCCACUAUAGCAAUUCUCUCUACAUGCGCAUUGUCCACAUCAGCAUUGAUGCCACGUCAAUGCUCUCUCAACAUGCAAUCUCCACGUCACCGGCCCACUCAGAUCAGCAAUUCUGCACAUGCAUAACGCAUGCCACGUCGUCACCUCGGUGCGUCCCAUUACCAGCGACAACGAGCUAAUACCGAACGACCUCCUGCCGUAAUAAAAGCCACGAACUCUUCUGUUCCCCGAAAGAAAAAUAAACCGAUCAACCACCAUCUCCGCCAGAUCGACCGCCAUCUCCGCCAGAAAAAAAGAACAUCAAUUUCUCCCCGACGGUUGGGAGCCGAUCUCUGCGUCUUCCCCGGCACCCGUUUUGUUCGUCGAGACGACUCCCCUGGAGCAGCAGUCCUUUUACCUCCCGUUUCUGACUCUACCUGCCAAGGGAGCUCCAUUGGAGAGAGAUUGGUUUUGGUCAGUUCCACCAGAAUUAUUGUUGAAAUUGAACCAUGGAGUUGCUUUCUUUUCAGCCUCAAUGGUGCGACGCCGGGCAGGGACCCGGAUCCACGAUGAAAGUACCAGGGCACGCAUCGGGACCCCGCCGAUACCUUGCAGCUUAGGCAUGCCCAACUUGGGCCACCUCCAUGCGCGACGUUUCCCGGGCCCCUGUCGGUGACACAACCUCCAGCGCAAGUGGAUCCUCCAACCUGCGCCCGACUGGAGCCUCCUCUCUCUCUCUAACAUGCCCGUCCUCAACCUUCCACGGCGCCGUUGGCCUCCUGAAGGUGCUGCCACAACCGUGCCUGACAAACAGCACAACGUUGUUGACCUGUUCAGACCUUUAGCCGACGGUAACCAAGGUAGGGGCUCACUACUCAGUCUUUAAUUAGCCUCGCAUCCACCCUUCAAUUUUUUUUAUGAAUCUGGGGCACCAAGGGAUUGGAAGUAUAUUAUUUAGAUGCAUUACUUUGUAAUUAUAGUUGUACUGAUGUUGUUGCCUGACGGAUGUACCAUGGUUUUCCCUUCUGCGGAAGUGCAAAACUCAGAUAGCUGGCUUGUGUGAUGUUCAGGCCAACAUUAUUAGAAGAGUUUCAGAAAGAAUGAACUAGCAUAAUGCCAUCUUGACUUGCAUCCAGCGUUCCAUUCAAUCAUGUCUAAUGUGAAGCUAAUGAGUGUGAAACUAUGAAGUACUCCCCACAAAGGCAAGUGUUGUAACGUUUUAUGCAGUUUCUCAGUGUUGUAGAAUUGCGAUCAAUUCAGUGAGUAUGUCUGGUGUAUCCUUCCAACUACUUUAUUCAUGUAUGUAUGUUUUAUUUAUCAGAAAGUAAGCAAUUUCCUAUGGGAGAAGAAACCGUGAGGAGUCUCUUUUAAGAGGAGCAACAGACUAACCCAAAUCUUAAGAAUUCGGAAACUGAACUGUUUAACUAAUACCGAAAAAGGGUUUCCCCCGCUUUAUAAAUAAAGCACCAACACUUACAUCCAAGAACCGAUACAAACGCACGCCACACAACCCAAGGCAAGAAACAAGAAUGCCGGGCACCGACACACAACUUCAACGACUACCAAGAAUCCCGCUUGUAGCCGACGGAGACCACCAACAAGAUGAGAGAUCGUCCGGGAAGAAGUGCAACGGACCACGCCGGACCGAGGGUUCCAAGACGAUGCCUCCAAGAAGGGCACGACCACGGACCGUCGCCAUCGUCCGAUCCAAAGAUCAGGUUUUCACCCGGAACACGACGGGAGGAGUGAGAGCACCACGACGGAGCCUACAGGGAGGAACACGACAUCCGCGGACGCCGCCACCGUCGACCCGUGUACGGACAGGUAAGUGAUGAACCCCGGUGCUCCACCCUUCCGCUGCAUCCCCGGUCGGCCAACCACCUGCAACCAUGCCACCCAAGCGGCCGUGGUUGCACGCCCGCAUCCGAGUCGCGCAGUCCGCCCACGACCGACGCGACUCCCACAGCCAGGGCCGCCGCCCCGCCACCGGACCACCCCGAGAAGCCCCAAAGGUCACGUCUUGGACAAGAUCCAUGAGCCCAACCACCUCAGAACCGCCGGCGACCACAGCCUCAAGGGGAACCGAGCCCAGAUGGCCGGGGGAAGGGGGAGGAGGAGGAGCCCCCGAGGCCGAAUGCCCAGAUCCGCAAGAGAGCGCCGGCCACCGCCCGCUGCCGAGGAGGAGGGCGCAUGGAACCGCCGAGCUGCAUCCAUGAGAGGCCACCGGGGAGGCCUUCCCGCGCCGAGCGCCGCCGUCCAGCCGCAGGGGCCCGGCUGGACAAGGGCCGCCCACCUCCACCGCUGCCGCGCCGCCCCUCCACCUGAGAUCCACGGCGAGAAGGGCCGCCCGCGACCCGGUCGCCCGCGACCCGCAGCGCCAGACGAGGCGCCGAGGCGCUGCUGCGAAGCCGCCGCCGCCGCCACCACCCGCCGGCCUGCACCACCACCAUGCCGCCUGUCGCCCGACGCCACGCCGCCGUCGCUGGCCUACUCCAGAGCGCCGCCGCACCGCUACGCCCGGCACGAGCGCAGCAUCCCCACCGGCGAGAUCCGGCCCGCGCCGCACCCCCCCGCGCAAGGAGACGAGAUGGCCCCGCCGCCGCCGGCGACGACCGGGCUUCGCCCGCUCGUGCCCCUUGGCGGCGGCGAGGGAGGAGAGAGAGAAGGGGAGGGUGGCGGCGGCGGCGCUAGGGUUGCCCCCCGGACGCCCGUGGGAGCGUCGCGGGAGGGGAGGGGUCCUGUUUAACUAAUGUGCCCUUCAAUCUCAUAAUAUGCCCUUCACUCCAAAAUGGAACUUAAUAGUUUAUAUGCCUUUGCUUUGCAUUGCUUAGUUUUGUAUUAUUGGACAAUAAUUUAAAGCUACAAUAGUGUUUUUUUUAUCGUAACCAAAUGCAUCUUGCUUGAAUUGGUUGAGCCUACCUUUUUCUGAAAAGGAAGAGUUUAAUCUAUUUUGAUAGGCAUUUGUACUGAAGAUCUAAAUCAACAAAUAGUGACUUUCCUUACUGAUUUAUGUGUGGAUUCAUCCACUCAAGCAGGGAUUGAAUUUUAAUUCUUUCGCGCAAACUCAGAAAGAGGCUAAAAAUGAGAUGAAAUAUGAUUCGCAAGCUUUUUCACACCGAAGAAUGCAUAGACGUUCCGCAUGCUACAUUUUAGUUCAACACCACGCAUAUCUUCGAUGUGCAAUCUGCUCAAAGCAACCCUUCAGUUUGCUUCCUCUUUUCCAUUAGAUAAAGUUAGUAGGCUAUGUUAUCUUGCUUAGAUUUUCUGUACCUUUUCUGCAGACAAGGAGCUCCUGAUGGUUACUUCACACAUCAAGGACCAGGUAAAGAAGACCACUCAUUUGAUUAUCUAAUCUUGAUGCAUUUUUUCAAUUUAUUUUCUCUGAUCAGCUAUUCUUUCCAGAUUGUUUUGUCAGCAAAGCUCAAACUACCAUUUUCGGUUUCAAGUGUUAUAUCAUCGCAGACAUAAGGAGUAACAAUAAAUAAAAUUAAGAGCACACAAAUAGACAGAUUAAUGAGGAUAUGGUUUCAAGUGUGAUCCCUCUUCCCCCAAAUAGUUACUGAUAGCAUUUUCUUUUUGUUUCAUAUGGUAUACAUCUAACAUUUCUGGCAGCAUUUAGACUGAAUUGGAGGGCCAGGACAAGUCUUGGAUGCUAAGUUUCCCUUUUUCUGUCAUAUGAGGGCUUCAUGUGAUGUAUCUUGUUUUCAGGUUUGAAGGUUCCUGAUUGUUCUUCAAAAAGAACAUUUGGUGAUCGCCAAAUUCUACUCAUGCAUUUACAGAAUAUCGACAAAUGUAACAUACUUAUUUUAUUGUUAUAGCAAUCCAGAAUAUCUUUUAAUGUGUGAUAUCUAAAUGUGGCCAAGAUUGUUAUAAGGCAUACAUGACACUUCCACAUUAGUACAUUAUUUUCUAUCACAUGUAUAUAAUACAAUUGGCAUUUGUUUCCUUGGAAAUUAAUUAUUACAAUUUCCCGCCGCAACGCGCGGGGUAUCAUCUAGUAUGUAAAAUGUAGGAGUCCAAUGAAAGACAAAUCUGAAGAUGAUUAAAUAUACAUGGAACAAACAAUUAAAUUGGACAUACCUACCAUGAAUUUAAAAAAUGCUAGUCAGUAUUUUCAUUAAAAUGCUUGGACAAGUUGGCUUGUCCUUCUCACGUGUUUGGACACUUAAAUAAUUAACUGUGUGUGAUCACGCAUCCUUGAACUCAUCAGUCAAUGGUUUGAAAACAUUUCGCAUGUCUUCGAAAUAUAGUAUUCAUCUCUAGCUCUUAUCAUCCAGCAUUUCUCGUUGCAAAACAUUUCUCAUGUUCAGACCAGAUUUUUUUUCUCAAAAAACAAAAUAGAACUUUACUCUAGUAUAGGACAUCAGAAUUGUAAUGAUUCAUCAUCAAAUAUUAUAGCAGAUUUUCCUAGCAAAAGUUACUAUAAUAAGUACUGGUAAUAAUGAUCACCUGUAUUGCAAAGGAGGUUACGGUUGAUGAUUUGGUAUCCCUGGCUGCAUAGGAAGGUUAAUGAUGAAACCAACAUCUUCUGUUCUACAGCGCCCAGCUCAUUGUCUCAGC